ensembl:lncRNA C21orf62-AS1 C21orf62 antisense RNA 1
GCACUUACGCGGAGCGGUAAUGUGAGGAAGCCUCCCGCCAAACAGAUGAGGGAGGAGGAGGAGGGGAGAGGCCAGAGAGAGAAGCGGCUUUCGGGAAGGAAAGUGUGAUCUAGUAGGUGGAAUAGUCCUCUCCAAACUUUGACCUGAGGUGUGACUAUUGAAUGACCCUCUAUUUGGAUUUGGAUUACACAAAGUUUAACGUUUUUUGGAAAAAUCCUACCUAGGUAAUGUGUAGUUCUCAAUGCAUCAUGUCAGGCAGCUUAUGAUGCCAAUUUGUCCCAUGGCCUUAAAUUCCACAACCUCAUCAUCUACCACCUUUGGUGCUUUCAGAAUCAUGACUCUCAAUGUUGAAGAAUGGGCUACUGCAUGGAAGGUGCUGAUCCUUUUAGAGGCAGCCGUGGAAGAGGAAAAGAGAUCAGAAGAGAAAAGGAUAUUGGUUUGCGGAACAUGUGGGACAAGAAGUUCCCAGAAGAAUUUGUGAGCAACUUCCCGACAGUAAGGCCCUGGCUAGACCUCAGGAUGGUCCCUGCCUCCUGGACAUUAGGAAGCCCAAAGGCCAGAACAAAAACACAUGCCUAGUGGGGGAAGGCUCACUAAGAGGGCACCAAGUGGGGCAAAUACCCCUGGUAACCCAUUUAUGGAGGCUGCCACAGAAAUGCUAGUUGGAAAUUUUCCUCCUUCAGUCUAUCAUGAAUUUCUUUUUUCUCUUUUGAGAUGAAGUCGCCCGGGCUGCAGUUCAGUGGUGCAAUCUCAGCUCACUGCAAGCUCUGCCUCCCAGGUUCCAACGAUUGUCUUGUCUCAGCCUCCUGAGUAGCUGAGAUUAUAAGCACGCACCAUCAUACCCGACUAAUUUUUGUAUUUAUAGUAGAAAUGGGGUUUUGCCAUGUUGGCCAGGCUGGUCUUGAACUCCUGACCUUAGGGUGAUCCACCCAUCUUGGCCUCCAAAAGUGCUGGGAUUACAGGCAUGAGCCACUGCACUCGGCUGUACCGUGAUUAUUAGUUCAAGGUUCUCUUUCACUGGGGUAAAGACCUUAAGAGAGCAGUUUUUGGGCUUUAUAUUCUCAAUUUCCCGCACAGUGCCUAGCACAUAGCAAGGACUCAACAAAUUUCAUUGAAUGAAUGAAAAAACAUAGUUUACCAAAUGUCAGUGUACUCAAACUCUUUUAACUGCUAGCUAUAGAAAUCCAAUUAAGACUCACUUGGGUAAAAAAAAAUAAAAAAAUAAACAAAAUAAACUGCUCACUUAUUUGAAAAAUUAAGGAAGGAUUUCAGGCAUGGCUUGAUCCAGCUACUCAAAAAAGGUUGUCAGAAAUGUCUGUCCGUUCUUCAUUUAUUCUUUCUCAUUUGUGGGCUUUGUUCCCAGAUAAGAUCACUCCUUCUGGGGACAAGAUGGUCACUAGUAGAUCCAGGUUUACUUUCUAUCAGCUGAGCAACCUCUCAAGAAAAAAUAAAUAAAUAAAUAAACCUCUCUUUAAAUAGCACCAGGCUGCUGGGUGUGGUGGCUCAUACCUGUAACCCCAGCACUUUGGGAGGCUGAGGUAGGAGGAUUGUGGGAAGCCAGGAGUUCAAGACCAGCCCAGCCAACAUUGUGAGACAUAAUCUCUACAAAUAAAAUAAAUUAGUUGGACAUGAUGGUGUGCACCUAUAGUCCCAGCUACUCGGGAGGCUGAAGCAGAAGGAUCACUUGAGUCUGAGAAUUCGGUGUUGUUUAAGCCACCCUGUUGUGGUAUCUGCUAUGGCUGCACAGGCAGAAAUAGGGACACAAGUGCAGGUUCAGGGCAAGGUGUGUGAGCACACUCAGUCCCUGGCCUCGGAGUCUCUCUGGAUGGCUUCUUGCCUAGGGUGACUGACAGAGGGAGGGAUGAUAUGCAAAGGCACCUGUUCUCCUCAUGACCUAACCCCAAUUCUUACUCCACGGGUUCAUGACAGCCUAUUCUGCUGGAGACUGUGUCUUAAAACUUCCUCCCCUAGUUUCUCUCAAGUACCCCUCGUGAGCUGUGAUUUCACUGGGCUUUGAACUCUUAGGCCAUUUGAGGCUGCAGUGAGCUAUGAUUGUAUCACUGCACUCCAGCCUAGAUGACAGAACGAGACCCCAUCUCUAAUGAAUAAAUAAAUAUGGCUGGGCACAAUGGCUCAGGCCUGUAAUCCCAGCAUUUGGAAGACCAAGACAGGCAGAUCGCUUCAGCUCAGGAGUUCGAGAUCAUUCUGGCCAACAAGGCGAAACCCUGUCUCUACCAAAAAUACAAAAAUUAGCCAGGCAGGGUGGCAUGUGCCUUUAAUCCCAGCUACAGGGAGGCUGAGGCAGGAGAAUCACUUGAACCUGGGAGGCAGAGGUUUCAGUGAGCUGAAAUUGUGCCACUGCACUCCAGCCUGAGUGACAGAGUGAGACUUUGCAACCAAAAAAUAAAAUAAUAAUAAUAAUGAAAUAAAUAACCAAAUAAGUAAAUAAAUAAAUAUUAGGAGGCAAAAAUACAUUGGACUCCUGAGUCGUACACUCAGCUUGGGAGCCAAUGAAUGGGAUCAGCCCCACUGCAAAGAGUGGACUGAGAGGGUAGAAGGAUGGUUCUGCAAAGGGAAAUCAGGAGGCGCUAUCAGAAAAGGGCCAGGUAGGCAGUCAGAAAGGUGGGUGCCCACAAGACCCAUGGGAUGAGCAUGGGUGAGCAUUGCAACUCUACUCCUCUCAGUCUCAGCAAACACUAAAGCACCACUUUGAUAAAAUGCCCUCUAAGAGUGCAGAUAUAUGUCUGACUUUGUGGGAUAUAUUCAGAUUUUCAAAUUGGCUCCUUUACUGGAGGGCCCCUCGAUUUUACCACCCAAGAAUCUUCAAGGAUUUUUGCAGGGACACACUUUGGGUACUGCAUUUGUGAGCAAUAGCCCUGCUUACCUCUCCAAGUCCUGGCUUCACAGUGUGUUCCUUGGGGUGCCCGGGCCCUAGCUUUCUUCUGGCUUUAACCCCAGAGCCAUAACUCAGAUCUAUACUUGAGACUGCUUCUUGCCAGGGCAUCUUCUCAGCUUCUGACUCUUGAGCCUUUCACAAUUUUCUUCUCUUGAGUCUUUCCCCUAAUUGCAUUUCCACUUUAAAAAUAAAAAUCACAGCCAGGCAUGGUGGUUCACACCUGUAAUCCCAGCAGUUUGGUAGGCUGAGGGGGGCAGAUCAUUUGAGGUCAGGAGUUCAAGACCGGCCUGGCCAACAUGGGGAAACCCUGUCUCUACUAAAAAUACAAAAAUUAGCCAGGUGUGGUGGUGCACACCUAUAAUGCCAGCUACUCAGGAGGCUGAGGCACGAGAAUUCCUUGAACCCGGGAGGCAGAGGUUGCCGUGAGCCGAGAUCGCACCACUGCACUCCAGCCUG